CAAUAGCGUAUAUUAAAGUUGUUGCAGUUAGAACGCUCGUAGUCGGAUUUCGGGGCGGGCCGACCGGUCUGCCGAUGGGUAUGCACUGGUCGGCGCGUCCUUCCUUCCGGAGACCGUCCCUACUCUUAACUGAGCGGGGGCGGGAGACGGGACUUUUACUUUGAAAAAAUCGGAGUGUUUCAAGCAGGCAGCUCGCUCUUGCAUGGAUUAGCAUGGGAUAAUGAAAUAGGACUUUGGUGCUAUUUUGUUGGUUUCGAACACCGAAGUAAUGAUGAGAAGGGACAGUCAGGGGCACUCGUAUUCCGCCGAGAGAGGUGAAAUUCUCAGACCAGCGGAAGACGAACCACUGCGAAAGCAUUUGCCAGGGAUGUUUNCACUG
rnacentral:rRNA from 1 species